rnacentral:rRNA from 1 species
AUUGAACGCUGGCGGCAGGCCUAACACAUGCAAGUCGAACGGUAACAGGAAGAAGCUUGCUUCUUUGCUGACGAGUGGCGGACGGGUGAGUAAUGUCUGGGAAACUGCCUGAUGGAGGGGGAUAACUACUGGAAACGGUAGCUAAUACCGCAUAACGUCGCAAGACCAAAGAGGGGGACCUUCGGGCCCCUUGCCCUCGGAUGUGCCCAGAUGGGAUUAGCUAGUAGGUGGGGUAACGGCUCACCUAGGCGACGAUCCCUAGCUGGUCUGAGAGGAUGACCAGCCACACUGGAACUGAGACACGGUCCAGACUCCUACGGGAGGCAGCAGUGGGGAAUAUUGCACAAUGGGCGCAAGCCUGAUGCAGCCAUGCCGCGUGUAUGAAGAAGGCCUUCGGGUUGUAAAGUACUUUCAGCGGGGAGGAAGGGAGUAAAGUUAAUACCUUUGCUCAUUGACGUUACCCGCAGAAGAAGCACCGGCUAACUCCGUG